rnacentral:rRNA from 1 species
AUUGAACGCUGGCGGCAUGCCUUACACAUGCAAGUCGAACGGCAGCGCGGGAGCAAUCCUGGCGGCGAGUGGCGAACGGGUGAGUAAUAUAUCGGAACGUGCCCAGUAGUGGGGGAUAGCUCAGCGAAACACGGAUUAAUACCGCAUACGACCUACGGGGGACAGGGGGGGAUCGUAAGACCUCUCGCUCUUGGAGCGGCCGAUAUCAGAUUAGGUAGUUGGUGGGGGAAAAGCCUACCCAGCCUGCGAUCUGUAGUGGGUAGGAGAGGACGAACAGCCACACUGGGACUGAGACACAGCCCAGACUCGUACGGGAGGCAGCAGUGGGGAGUUUUGGACAAUGGGCGCAAGCCUGAUCCAGCAAUGCCGCGGGCAGGAAGAAGGCCUUCGGGUUGUAAACUGCUUUUGUCAGGGAAGAAAGCCUCUGGUUUAAUACCCCGGGGGGAUGACGGUACCUGAAGAAUAAGCACCGGCUAACUACGUGCCAGCAGCCGCCGUAAUAC